rnacentral:rRNA from 1 species
CCUACGGGAGGCAGCAGUGGGGAAUAUUGGUCAAUGGCCGGAAGGCUGAACCAGCCAUGCCGCGUGAAGGUCAGUGCCCUAUGGGCCGUAAACUUCUUUUGUGCGGGAGCAAUAAUGGUCACGUGUGGCCAGACGAGAGUACCGUACGAAUAAGCAUCGGCUAUCUCCGGGCCAGCAGCCGCGGGAAUACGGGGGGUGCAAGCGUUAUCCGGAUUUCUUGGGGUUAAAGGGUGCGUAGGCUGUGAGGGAAGUCAGCGGUGAAAUGCCCCCGGUCAACGGGGUGAAGUGCUAUUGAUACUGCCUUGCUGGAGUGCGGGUGCGGUGGGAGGAAUGUGUGGUGUAGCGGUGAAAUGCAUAGAUAUCAGACAGAACACCGAUUGCGAAGGCAGCUCACGAAUCCGCGAUUGACGCUGAUGCACGAAAGCGUGGGUAGCAAACAGGAUUAGAUACCCUAGUAGUC